ACGAACGCUGGCGGCAUGCCUAACACCUGCAAGUCGAACGAUGCCUUCGGGCAUAGUGGCGCACGGGUGCGUAACGCGUGGGAAUCUGCCUUUCGGUUCGGAAUAACUCAGGGAAACUUGAGCUAAUACCGGAUAACGUCGCAAGACCAAAGAUUUAUCACCGAAAGAUGAGCCCGCGUAGGAUUAGCUAGUUGGUGAGGUAAAGGCUCACCAAGGCGACGAUCCUUAGCUGGUCUGAGAGGAUGAUCAGCCACACUGGGACUGAGACACGGCCCAGACUCCUACGGGAGGCAGCAGUGGGGAAUAUUGGACAAUGGGCGAAAGCCUGAUCCAGCAAUGCCGCGUGAGUGAUGAAGGCCUUAGGGUUGUAAAGCUCUUUUACCCGGGAAGAUAAUGACGGUACCGGGAGAAUAAGCCCCGGCUAACUCCGUG
rnacentral:rRNA from 1 species